rnacentral:lncRNA from 10 species
GGUGGACAGCGAGCUCUACGGAAACCCGCGCAGUGGGUCAGCCGCCAGCGGCCGCCAGGUCUGAGCGGUUCGGAUCUCGAGCGGUCCCUGUGGCAGCCUCGCCAGGUCACGGCUUCCCGCUCUGGAGAGUUUGUGGUCCCUGUCCUGGGAGGGCUCCGCAGCCGCCAGGGAGGGACUAGACGGACCGCGGCGGGGAGAGGCUGCAGAGCCAGACUGUCCCGGACCGCCGCUUCCGCCCCUGCGCCGCCCUCCCAGCCCAGGUGACCGGUCGCCCUCCCCGGGAUGCAGGCCCUCCUCCUCUGGGUCCCAAGCCAGGCGUGGGGGUCGCAGGCCGGCGCUACAGCCUGAGGACGCCGCGGCCUCUGCCCCGGGGAGGGCGCCGAAUUCCGGACGGGGCGGCUGUCGCAGGCCAUGGGGCCGCAGCCACGCUGGAGGACAGGGUCCGGCGGAGCGUCGGGGUCCUGGCAGAGGCCACGGCGAGGGCAGGAGCAGGAAACUUUGCUGAAUGAGCCCAGGUGCUGAAGCAGGAAGGCUGGACCCUCUCCCUUGGCAUCGCAGUUCCUUCCAGACUCCCCCUCUUCUUAGGCUCUUUUCAAGCACAUACCCGGCAACAUGUGCCCUGCCCAAGAGCGCUUCACAGAUCUUCCUGCAGGUCUAAAACCAGAACGCUUUGUUCCCUGGCCCUGGAACUCAUGUCACCCCAAACGGCGGAGCCGGCUUCGGACUCGAGUCUCAGUUUAAUACUUGUUCCCUAAGGUCUGCCCAGGGCUCUUAUGAUGGGACUUCGUUCCACUCCAUCCCACCCUGUGCCUCCCCCAAUGCGCUGGGGGCCUCAACUGCAGGGACUUGGAACUGGGAGACCUCCCCAACAGGCUGGCCUGGCCAUGGACUGGUGGACCUCAGUCCCAGGGCGAGACACCCAGGGCAAGUACCCUCAGCCCAGCUUUUGUACACUCCAGCCAUUUAACCUGGUGUGGUGGCCUCACUGGGUCCCUAGCUCUGUGGGGUGGGAUUUCUCCCUUGUGUCAUAGUGGAGGAAACUGAGGCAUAGGGCCAUUGAAUGACAAACUCAGGGAGAUUCUCUGACUGAAAUGCCCUCUAGGUCCCGCAGGUCCCUCCAGGACACAGCAUCCCUUGGGCUGCUGCAUCAGUGGGCUGUUGUCUUGGGCACCCCAAGCUCAACACCAUGUGGGGAUGACGCUGGGGAAUGUGGGGACAGGGAUAUUUGUCCCCCACAUCAGCACAGCAGGAGUUUCAUUCUCUGGUGUGCGUGGACACCACCGCAUGUGUGGGUGCUGGUGGGGCCCCCAUUUUACUGAUUAAGAAAGAGCCCUUCCUGGGGCCUCUGGGGAAUUGAGCACCAUAUGUGCCUGGUAGCUGUUAGGGUGUGGAGGGGCUCAGCUGGCCUCUGUCCUGUUGUCACCUUUUCAGGGUCAGUUAGACCCUGAACUCUUAUUACCAGUCAUGCCUGGAUGCACACCACCCUUCACUUGGCAUCUCCCAGCCUGAUUCCCCCCAGCUCAGCCCCUGAGUUUUCUCAGGCCUCUGUUGGCCCUGAAUGGGAUCCCAGGAGAUGGCAACUCUGCUGCCUGCCUCUGCCUGAAGUCCAGGGUACUUUUGCAGGGUGGGUGAGCAGGUCAGGAUUCAGCUUUUGGCUGAGUAUGGGACCCUUCCCCACUCCCCACCCCACACUGCUGGAACCACUGUGCACGGCUGGCCUGGGGGCUGCACUGGGUCCCCCAACUUCCUGCUGUACUGGAUUGCAGAGAAUACUUGUGCAUAUGGCUUGACCUAUUGUCAAUGUCCCGUCCAAAUCAGAACUAACGAGCUGUUUCCCUGGGGCCAGGGCCCAGGCCUGAGGCUGCCAUGACCAGCCCAUUCUCUGCCUUCUUUGGGGCCGUCAAUGGCCAGUGCUUGGUGGUCCCCAAAAGACAUGAUGGCCAGGACUUAAGAGCUGGAGGUUAGGCCAGGACACUGCCUGACCACUGGGGUCCACAGGGGCUGUCCCUGAGCUGUGAGUGCCUAUGGGAUGCAGGCACAUGUAGAUGCUUUAGAUGAGCAUGGGCCCUUCUGGCUGGCAGGAUCUUGGUGGGCACUGGGCAUGUGAGGCCAGGUUAGGUGAGAUGAGCAGAAUUGGGCCUGGCUGGGGAGCAUGAUUGGUGUGGCCAGAGUGGGCAUCUGGGCCCUCAUAUCUAAGCUGCACAUUGGCAGAAUGACAAGUGGUGGGUCAAUCAUCCCAGCUGAGUCUGGGGACAUAGGCCUACCCAGUGGGACCCCCGCCCUUGUCCCGGCCACAAGCCCAGAACGUCUGCCUGCACUGGGUAUUCUAGCCUGGGCAGGGAAGCCUGGGUGUGAUGAUCAGGUGUCGUGUCUCUGGGUUUCAGGCCUUGGUGGCCCCUAGGGAGAUGGACAGGCCCCGGGCAGGGGGAGGGGCCUGGGCACCACCUACGUGCAUUCGCCCCUGGAUGGGUGCCCCCACCCCAGCUUCUCAGCCCUCAGGGCAACAUAACCAGGGCUUCCCACCUGCUCUGUGGCUCUAGCUCUGACCCCCUUGCACCAUUGCAAUGGUGGACCAUUGCACCAUUGGUACUCUGGGAUUACUGGCUUCUUAUUUUUAAAAUAUUUUUCCAAGGAACUAUAGUCAUAACACUAAUUCACUUCUAAAUUGUGACUGAAUAGUCCUGCUUGGGCUAUUUAUUACCUUCUAUUCUUCUGCACAGUCUAAGGGUACAAAAAAUAGGUAGUUUUAUAUCAUUUUUAAAUUGAGAAGGUAGAUGUGGGAGGUAGGGUUCUCCUAGAAAAAGUUUAAGUGUCUCCUUAUCAAUACUUCUAAAGUUCAUCUCAAUCAUUCUUUCACUCUUAUUCAUAUGUUCAUAUUUAUUUUCUUCAAAACUCUUAGGUCUAUCCAUAAUCACAAUGCGUCUGUUUACUGUUAUCUUCUCUCUGCUCACUGGAAGAUUUGAUCCUUCAUUUCCAUGGGCUUUUAAUUUUUUCAUCAUUGUUUCUCUAGUUAAUAGUACCUUCAGUAGUCUCAAAAACGUAUUGAAUAAACAAAUGAUAAGUGAAUAUUUAAUGUGUUCAAUAGAAAAAUUGCAUCACAAAGGAGCACUGUCGCUGCAAAUAGCCUCAGUGCUAGGUUAAAAAAAAUAAUGUCAGGGAUCGCAGCUUCUAAAGGUUUCUUUCAAACUAAUACAUUGAUUUAUGAUUAAUUGAUCAACUAACUGGAAACUACUUAAUUUAUAUUCAAAUAUAGUUAGUUCAAUUGUACACUAUCUACUCUAAAUAUUAUGAUGCUUUUAAAGUAUUAAGAUAAAGCCUUAUGCAGCUAAAUAGAAACAUGUACAUACUAUAGUGUUAAAUGAAAUAACUGUAUAGUAAAAAAUGUUGCCUAAUCUUAUAAAAUUAUAGAAAUGAGAAAGAAAAAUUAAAUCAAAAUGGUUCUUUUCGCUAAAGUGAUGAUGCUAGGAUGACUUCCUGUUUUUAUUUUUUAACCUGCUAUUUUUGCAAUAAUGCUUAUUUGUAUUUUCGAAAUAUGGGCAUUAAAAUCUCUUGGGAUCUGUCUUAGGCUGAUUCAGCAUUUGAAUUGACCAUAUAUACAUGUCACU